GGUACAAGGUGACGCACCGCUGCACGGAGUUCCUCAACCUGACACACUCGCAGGAAGAGACGCGAAGUUCAGCUCAGACUAAGGUUACAAAUGAUGGUGAAAUGAAGAAGCUGGCGUCCGACAUUGCCGGCAACUCGACGGCAGGAAAUAGUCUCACCACAGCCCCUAAAGUAACACCUAAGAAAACGCCCCGGCCCCCGUACAAGGCGCCGCACCGCGCUGCCAUCUACCCGCACUACGAGGACGACGAGUAAAUUAACCAUAUACCUUAAAUAAGUACAUACACAUUACAUCGCCCCUAUAUUAAUGACGUCAACGGUCGACGACCCCGACGACGUACAAGAAGCAUCACCUCGCGAUUUGCAUUGAGAACUAUGGAUAAAAAAAACAUCAAUAUAACAGUAUAAAUAAAAACUAGGGAUGCGCCGAAUAUUCUUUGUCGGUGCCGGAU